rnacentral:siRNA from 1 species
CAAUCAUAUAUUGCUCUACAG